rnacentral:rRNA from 1 species
UUGAAAGGGAAACGAUUGAAGUCAGUCAUACCAACGGGAAAUCAACCUUUUGAGCUUGAUCUCGUGGGUUUUGAAGAGUUUCAAAGCCUUCGGAUUCGCGGGAUUGGGAUCUCUUGGUGUACUUUUUCGUACGGUUAGUCAACAUCGGUUUUGAAUGUCAUAAAAUGACUGGAGGAAUAUAGCUUCGAUCUCGUAUUGAAGUGUUAUAGCCUUUGGUAGAUGUGAUGUUUGAGACCGAGGAUUGCAACGGAUACCCUUCAGGGCUAUUCGUCUGAUCUCUGAUACGUUGCCUUGAUGUUGAAAGCUUGCUUAUGAUGUUAGGGUAUUACGGUCAAAAGGUUAGAACGAAUUACAUUCGUUAAGGAUGUUGACGUA